rnacentral:rRNA from 1 species
UUCGGUUGGGUCCUUAGUGGCGCACGGGUGCGUAACGCGUGGGAAUCUACCCCUCGGUUCGGAAUAACAGCGAGAAAUUGCUGCUAAUACCGGAUGAUGACGUAAGUCCAAAGAUUUAUCGCCGAGGGAUGAGCCCGCGUAGGAUUAGCUAGUUGGUGUGGUAAAGGCGCACCAAGGCGACGAUCCUUAGCUGGUCUGAGAGGAUGAUCAGCCACACUGGGACUGAGACACGGCCCAGACUCCUACGGGAGGCAGCAGUGGGGAAUAUUGGACAAUGGGCGAAAGCCUGAUCCAGCAAUGCCGCGUGAGUGAUGAAGGCCUUAGGGUUGUAAAUCUCUUUUACCCGGGAUGAUAAUGACAGUACCGGGAGAAUAAGCUCCGGCUAACUCCGUGCCAGCAGCCGCGGUAAUACGGAGGGAGCUAGCGUUAUUCGGAAUUACUGGGCGUAAAGCGCACGUAGGCGGCUUUGUAAGUAAGAGGUGAAAGCCUGGUGCUCAACACCAGAACUGCCUUUUAGACUGCAUCGCUUGAAUCCAGGAGAGGUGAGUGGAAUUCCGAGUGUAGAGGUGAAAUUCGUAGAUAUUCGGAAGA